rnacentral:rRNA from 2 species
GGUGUGACUGCGUACCUUUUGUAUAAUGGGUCAGCGACUUAUAUUCUGUAGCAAGGUUAACCGUAUAGGGGAGCCGCAGGGAAACCGAGUCUUAACUGGGCGUUAAGUUGCAGGGUAUAGACCCGAAACCCGGUGAUCUAGCCAUGGGCAGGUUGAAGGUUGGGUAACACUAACUGGAGGACCGAACCGACUAAUGUUGAAAAAUUAGCGGAUGACUUGUGGCUGGGGGUGAAAGGCCAAUCAAACCGGGAGAUAGCUGGUUCUCCCCGAAAGCUAUUUAGGUAGCGCCUCGUGAACUCAUCUUCGGGGGUAGAGCACUGUUUCGGCUAGGGGGUCAUCCCGACUUACCAACCCGAUGCAAACUACGAAUACCGAAGAAUGUUAUCACGGGAGACACACGGCGGGUGCUAACGUCCGUCGUGAAGAGGGAAACAACCCAGACCGCCAGCUAAGGUCCCAAAGUCAUGGUUAAGUGGGAAACGAUGUGGGAAGGCACAGACAGCCAGGAUGUUGGCUUAGAAGCAGCCAUCAUUUAAAGAAAGCGUAAUAGCUCACUGGUCGAGUCGGCCUGCGCGGAAGAUGUAACGGGGCUAAACCAUGCACCGAAGCUGCGGCAGCGACACGAUGUGUUGUUGGGUAGGGGAGCGUUCUGUAAGCCUGCGAAGGUGACCUGUGAGGGUUGCUGGAGGUAUCAGAAGUGCGAAUGCUGACAUAAGUAACGAUAAAGCGGGUGAAAAGCCCGCUCGCCGGAAGACCAAGGGUUCCUGUCCAACGUUAAUCGGGGCAGGGUGAGUCGACCCCUAAGGCGAGGCCGAAAGGCGUAGUCGAUGGGAAACAGGUUAAUAUUCCUGUACUUGGUGUUACUGCGAAGGGGGGACGGAGAAGGCUAUGUUAGCCGGGCGACGGUUGUCCCGGUUUAAGCAUGUAGGCUGAUUAUCCAGGCAAAUCCGGAUAAUCAAGGCUGAGGUGUGAUGACGAGGCACUACGGUGCUGAAGUAACAAAUGCCCUGCUUCCAGGAAAAGCCUCUAAGCAUCAGGUAACAUCAAAUCGUACCCCAAACCGACACAGGUGGUCAGGUAGAGAAUACCAAGGCGCUUGAGAGAACUCGGGUGAAGGAACUAGGCAAAAUGGUGCCGUAACUUCGGGAGAAGGCACGCUGGUGUGUAGGUGAAGUCCCUGCGGAUGGAGCUGAGACCAGUCGAAGAUACCAGCUGGCUGCAACUGUUUAUUAAAAACACAGCACUGUGCAAACACGAAAGUGGACGUAUACGGUGUGACGCCUGCCCGGUGCCGGAAGGUUAAUUGAUGGGGUUAUCCGUAAGGAGAAGCUCUUGAUCGAAGCCCCGGUAAACGGCGGCCGUAACUAUAACGGUCCUAAGGUAGCGAAAUUCCUUGUCGGGUAAGUUCCGACCUGCACGAAUGGCGUAAUGAUGGCCAGGCUGUCUCCACCCGAGACUCAGUGAAAUUGAACUCGCUGUGAAGAUGCAGUGUACCCGCGGCAAGACGGAAAGACCCCGUGAACCUUUACUAUAGCUUGACACUGAACAUUGAGCCUUGAUGUGUAGGAUAGGUGGGAGGCUUUGAAGCGUGGACGCCAGUCUGCGUGGAGCCAACCUUGAAAUACCACCCUUUAAUGUUUGAUGUUCUAACGUUGGCCCCUUAUCGGGGUUGCGGACAGUGUCUGGUGGGUAGUUUGACUGGGGCGGUCUCCUCCCAAAGCGUAACGGAGGAGCACGAAGGUUAGCUAAUCCUGGUCGGACAUCAGGAGGUUAGUGCAAUGGCAUAAGCUAGCUUGACUGCGAGCGUGACGGCGCGAGCAGGUGCGAAAGCAGGUCAUAGUGAUCCGGUGGUUCUGAAUGGAAGGGCCAUCGCUCAACGGAUAAAAGGUACUCCGGGGAUAACAGGCUGAUACCGCCCAAGAGUUCAUAUCGACGGCGGUGUUUGGCACCUCGAUGUCGGCUCAUCACAUCCUGGGGCUGAAGUAGGUCCCAAGGGUAUGGCUGUUCGCCAUUUAAAGUGGUACGCGAGCUGGGUUUAGAACGUCGUGAGACAGUUCGGUCCCUAUCUGCCGUGGGCGCUGGAGAAUUGAGGGGGGCUGCUCCUAGUACGAGAGGACCGGAGUGGACGCAUCACUGGUGUUCGGGUUGUCAUGCCAAUGGCACUGCCCGGUAGCUAAAUGCGGAAGAGAUAAGUGCUGAAAGCAUCUAAGCACGAAACUUGCCCCGAGAUGAGUUCUCCCUGAGACUUUAAGUCUCCUGAAGGAACGUU